rnacentral:rRNA from 1 species
UUCCAGACUCCUACGGGAGGCAGCAGUGGGGAAUAUUGCACAAUGGGGGAAACCCUGAUGCAGCGACGCCGCGUGAGUGAAGAAGUAAUUCGUUAUGUAAAGCUCUAUCAGCAGGGAAGAAAAUGACGGUACCUGAGUAAGAAGCCCCGGCUAACUACGUGCCAGCAGCCGCGGUAAUACGUAGGGGGCAAGCGUUAUCCGGAUUUACUGGGUGUAAAGGGAGCGUAGACGGCCAUUCAAGCCAGAUGUGAAAGCCCGGGGCUCAACUCCGGGACUGCAUUUGGAACUGUGGGGCUAGAGUGUCGGAGAGGCAGGCGGAAUUCCUAGUGUAGCGGUGAAAUGCGUAGAUAUUAGGAGGAACACCAGUGGCGAAGGCGGCCUGCUGGACGAUGACUGACGUUGAGGCUCGAAAGCGUGGGGAGCAAACAGGAUUAGAUACCCGUGUAAU